UAUUUGCCCUUUUCCAGUCCUCUGGAAUCUCUCCCAUCUUCCAUGACUUUUUGAAGAUAAUCGCUAAUGGCUCAGAUAUCUCCUCAGUCAGCUCCUUGAGCAUUCUAGGAUGUAUUUCAUCAGACCCUGGUGACUUUAAGACAUCUAACUUGUCUUUGCUGUAUGCCACAGAAAGGAACAUGAGUGAAGAGACUGGAGUCGAACUGAGUUCUUGGGGAACUGAGUGGAAGAGGUCUCAGGAAAACACCAAUAUAGUGGUUCAGUGACUCGGAUUCAAUUCAUCUGGAGCAGAUGGCUGUGCGCUUUGGAAGCAGAAAUCAACCCAGUACCAAGCAAGAUCAGUGAAUAUAAGAAAUGAAUCUAAAGUAUUAACGCUUUUAUCCAAAAGUUUUGU